AGAACUUAGCAGAGAUGCUUUGGUGCCCUUCGGGAACUCUGAGACAGGUGCUGCAUGGCUGUCGUCAGCUCGUGUUGUGAAAUGUUGGGUUAAGUCCCGCAACGAGCGCAACCCUUAUCCUUUGUUGCCAGCGGUUAGGCCGGGAACUCAAAGGAGACUGCCAGUGAUAAACUGGAGGAAGGUGGGGAUGACGUCAAGUCAUCAUGGCCCUUACGAGUAGGGCUACACACGUGCUACAAUGGCGCAUACAAAGAGAAGCGACCUCGCGAGAGCAAGCGGACCUCAUAAAGUGCGUCGUAGUCCGGAUUGGAGUCUGCAACUCGACUCCAUGAAGUCGGAAUCGCUAGUAAUCGUGGAUCAGAAUGCCACGGUGAAUACGUUCCCGGGCCUUGUACACACCGCCCGUCACACCAUGGGAGUGGGUUGCAAAAGAAGUAGGUAGCUUAACCUUCGGGAGGGCGCUUACCACUUUGUGAUUCAUGACUGGGGUGAAGUCGUAACAAGGUAGGCGUAGUGCU
rnacentral:rRNA from 1 species